rnacentral:lncRNA from 1 species
CUCCUCCCUCCCGGCUCCAAUCCCCACGUUCCGCCAGCUCCCCACCCCUCGGCCUCCUCUCCUCCCCACCUUCUCCCGCGAACCCACACUCACAAAGAGCCGAGGGGAGAGAGGGUGCGCAGACGGCCAGCGGGGCCGCGCCAGGGACAUACUGGAGACAGGAAGUGGCUGAGAGGGGGAGAGAGUUGGAGAGAGACGGCCGCGGAGGACACGGGGACGGGAAAGUCUGAGAGACGGGGAGAGCCUGACCCGGCGGGACACAGGCAGAAAGAAACACGCGAGCCAGACAGACGCAGAAGAAACGGUGGGCUGCCUGGUACUGGAUAGGAACUUCAUGGAAUGGAGCUAAUGGGCCGUAGGGCAGGUUUGAGUCGUGCCACCCUGGAGCAGAAGGUGGAGGGUAGGGAUAAGGGGGUGGAGCACCUGAUUCCAAUCUUGCCGCACGGAAGAAGAGUCUGUGAAGAAGUGCGUGAUGACUGUGUGUCCCCCCCACCCAGAAAUUGGCAUUUGGGAGGGGUGGAUAUGGUUGGGACUGGGGAGCCUUGAUCUUACUGCUCUUGGUUGAGUUGGUGUCCAAUAGACAGUUUCAGAGGUUAGAGCAGUGGGAGUCACUGGGGACUGGGGACGGGAGAGGUGGGGGUGGGGGAAGCCAGGCGGGAAUGAGUAGGGAGGCACUGGGAGGAGGGGAGAGGCAAGAGUUAGGGGAAUACCGAGGAAAGUGGCAGGGAUUGGAGGCUCCUGGAGAAAGGGCAAGGCUGAAGGUUGUCCCAUGUAUUUUGGCCAGAUUUGAUUAUGUAAUCGAGAUACAUGAGAUAAUUGUGUUCGUGUCUCUGGAGCCUUCAACCAGCUCUUUUAACAUCUUGCUCUUCCCGGCAUUCCUUAGGGUCUUUGGCUGGGCUCUGGGAUGGAUGCCAUGGGAGUACCUUUACUUAAGCUCUAAAGUUACCAAUGGAGAGACUGGGACUCAAAGAGGAACUUGAUUGGACCCCAGAGAGGUGAGGGGUAAGGGCUCGAACCUCACACAUGCUGGUUUUGCUGCUGCCUGGCAGGCCCAUGGGAAGAACUUUAGAGGUUCCAAGGAAUUGGAAAAGGGUCACAAGAUGGGUGGCCAAACUCCCAGCUCAGGCUUGAUUCCUACUCUCAAUGUGGGGAUAGUGGAGAAGGGGGCUGCAGGAAGGGCUGAGAAAAGCUGAGAAUGAGAAGUUAUACAGGAGGUAGCUUGGUGGGAGUGAAACAAAAAUGAGUGGUU